UUGGAGCUCAACAGCAGACAGCACUCUUGUCUCCCCAGCUGGUUUUGUUUAUCAAAAAGUCCUCCCCUUGAUAGUUUAGGAAUGACUGUGAAUCCCAAAGUCAUUUGCCCUGUCAUUUGUUUUUUGGACUGAAACAGGUAUUUAAUCUGGUAUAAAAUAGACAGACUCAGUUGCUCCCAGUUGCUUACUAGUGUAAAUUCUCCAUGUCUCACUGAAGUCCAGGGCUUGAUUUUUCCUGCAAUUACAACAGUGUGAUUUUACUGAUGCAAGUGGAGAGCUGUAUCCGGAUCACCAGUAGACCUUCAACUGGAAAAGGGUUUCACACUGGUCUAAAUGAAAUGCAGAGCCAGAUUAACACCACUGACAACAGCUAGGUUAUACAUGUAUAAUGACAUCCCCAUCAGUCACUCUGAUCUACACCCUAUACAUAACAAUACAUCUGCCAUUGUAUUUCAGUAAUGUAUUAUUAAAAUACUUUCUAUAGUAUAUAAAGCAAGAAUGAAAAUAGUAUGAUGUGCAAGGCAAUAAAACUUAAAGGCUUUAAUUAGAUGAAUAUUAUCAGGAACAGUCUUGAUCUAGAAAAUUAUGGAAAGAUAAUUUUUUUUUUCCUCAGAGCUUUAAGCCCUCCGUCUUACUCCUCUUUUGUCAACAGCAGUGAGUGAACACCCAGAAGUAGGUCAGGAUUGCUGAUAUCCAAGGAUACCCUGUUUCUGUGGUUACCUUAGCGCUCCCUCCCUGGAACCCAAGCUCAGCCCGCGGCGUCACCGCACACGGGCGCUGCAGCCCCCGCUGCAGAGCUGCUGCUGCUGCUGCUGCUGCUGCUGCUGAGGCUGCUGAGGCUGCUGCUGCUGCUGGGGCUGCUGGGGCUGCUGCUGGGGCUGCUGACGCUGCGGCUGCUGCUGCUGGGGCUGCUGGGGCUGCUGCUGCUGGGGCUGGGGCUGGGGCUGCUGCUGCUGGGGCUGCUGCUGCUGCUGGGGCUGCUGGGGCUGCUGCUGCUGCUGGGGCUGGGGCUGGGGCUGCUGCUGGGGCUGCUGCCGCUGCCCAGGCGCCCCCGGCUCCACCGGGCGGGCACACAGCUGCAGUUGCAGCCGCAGCGGAGCAAGGAGCUGUGAGCUGCAGGGUGCCCAGGCCAGGCCGUGCCGUGUCUGCCUGUGGGCUGGCUGUGCUCCGCUCUGCCCCGGCUGAGGGACAGGAGGCAGUGCAAGGGCUGCCCGAGACCGGCACCUGGGAUCCGUGGCCCAGCUGCAGCUGGUGGGGUGCUGGGUGGGAAUAGGCACAGUGGCAAGUACGAGGACACCCCAUCACCACACAACACCAGCCAGAGCCAAGCAGAGAAAUUAAGCGUGCUUCUUCUGUGUCACUGCAGCCCUGAUGCCCUCACGCAUGGCUGACUGAAGGGGAGGUUUAUCUUCCAGGCAUUCCAGAUAGGAUGACAUAAAAUAGACUGGGGCUGUGGACGUGGAAACAGAGAGGCAAAGCUUAAGGCACAAACACAAAGCAAAUCAAACUGUGGCAGCUGUGUACAAAAUGGGCCAGCUCUGCGUUUGAAGGUGUGAGAAAGGAGCGAGCGGGCUGUGCUCAGAGAGACAGCCUUGUGAGAAGUGACAGCUUUAGUCCUGGUUCAUCAUGGGGACUCAUGGACUGGUAGAAGUAAAACAAGCAGCCUGGCAACUGUGGCUCAUUUUCAGCAGUUUUAUGAAGUACUAUGUCUAUUAAACUUGCUGGCUCUAAACUUGGGACAUAUUUGCUGUUGACACCAAGCUUCAUGCCAGCCAGCUCCCCUGUCAGACUAUUCAGGGAGCACCCUCAGCAAUGGCAGACACGCUGGACCAAGCAAACAUGUUCGCAGGGUCUGGAUUAGAGCUCAUGCUGGUGCAUAGCUGCACUGCCCAGCAGCAGAUGUUUUAGGACCAUAUGACUUGAAGCAACUGAAUUACUGAAUCCAGCCCUGAUUGCAGACUUCAUGUAAUACUUGUAUAAUCCAGAAGGGUCCAGACAGCAUCUACUCUACACCAAGUGGUUCCCAGCACUAUAGCAGUACUUGUCAAGAGCUGUGUGUCAGUUUUAACCAUUUUAGGUACCUGCUGAGUGCCAGAUUUAAGGAACAUUCCACACUGACAAUUUAACACUUCUCUUCUGCCCAAUUUUCCCUCAACUCAUAUAACCUUUGUAUUUGCCUUCCUGUUGUUGUCAGCUCAAAAGAAUAUCCUCAGAAGUUAGUCUUGAUUGAAACUGAGGCUGUAAGCAUUUUAAAUUUUAAUUACAGUUAUUCACCGUGUGAAUGGGAGGAUCUCCAGGAUUUGAGCUAACUGCUCUGCAAAUGUGCAGAGAUCCAUCAGCUUUCUACCUGUGAACUGAUAACAAAUCCUGUAAUCACAUAAAGUUGGUGGAAUACAAAGCUUUUAGCUCUGGUGGAUGCAUAAGCUGCUCAUGGAAUUCUAGGCAACAAAACACCACCAAGUUAUGACACAAACCAUCAACUCGCACCCAAUACCAUCAGCAGCAAAUCAGAAAGAUUUUUGACUGAACCUUUAUGAAAGGAGUUUAAUCAUCAUCUGACAAACAGAGAGGUAAAUUAGAAUUUCAUUCAGAAAUAAUUACUUCUGUUAAAAAGAGAAUUAUUUUUAGUUUCUCUUUUAAAUUUUUCUGGUCAACUGCAGCUUACAACUAUUGUUUCUUAUUCUGCUUUUCUCCACUAAAUUAAAGCAUUCUUUAGUACCUGGUAUUUUCUCACUGUGAAGUUGCACACACCGUAAUCAGAACAUUUCUCAAUUUUCUUUUUGAUAAGCACAAUGGAUUAAGUAUUCCAAGUUUUUUUAAUAGAAAGCAUUAUAUCAAAGUAUAAUCCUAUUUUCUCAAAAUCGUUUUGGAACUCUUUUCUGCAACUUCAUAAUUUUUACAAUAUUCUGUUGAAAAUGUGGCCACCUGAGCCUUAUCCAGCAACCCACUUGAAGUAUCAUCAAUGCUAUUUGCAAAGGAAAAAUAUGCACUUUCUUGUUUUUCUCCCUACUCUCAUCCAAGAAUCACAUUCAGACCUCCUUUUAUAUUAAGGUCUGUUAUCUAAUGAGUUGCCAAGACAAUUCUUUAUGGAGUUUUAUCUAUAAAUUGUCCAGAUACACUGAUUUAAAUUGAUAGCUAAAUGACAUACACCAUUUGGCAUCUCCAGCUCCUGAAAGUCCAGUAGUCAUUUCAAGGGCUCAUUUUUCCAUCCGUAUGCCCAUAACAUACAGAAAUGCAAUUGUACAUGCCUGUCUGUCUGUCCUCUCUCAGGUCAUCCAGUCCAUUUUCUGUACGGUGCCCCAGAACAUUCCGUGUCUCUGUUUUCCAAAUCUGCACAUACAAUCUGUACUGCUAAUGCAGCUUUUCAGUUUGCAUGGUUCUGGCAUUACACACAGCCUCUGUGAUUCAGCCAAGAUUUCCAGAGAGGAUGCUAUAGGCUGCCCAUGCACAGAGCGUGGGGUAAUCCUCUGAGCCCAGGAGGACUUGGUGAGCAGGGAAGGAGGCACCCUUCACACAGAGAAACACUGUGAGGAAACUGGACUGAGGGCAAAAAUGUGUAGCAGCAGCAGCAGAAAAAAUGGGCAGGGGACAGGCAGACAGGGAGGAUUUGCUGUGCUGGUUGCCUUUUUGCAUAAACUUGUAUUUUUUCCCCACCAUCAACCUCUGUUCUUCAGCUUGUCACUUACUGUAUUACCUUUUCCUCCACCCUACUUUCCCCUACAAUGUCCUUUCUCCCGCUGCCUUUUAUUCCCAGUUGACUCAUUCUGACUUAGAUUCACCCUCCCCUGCCAAAGCUCUUCAUGGAAACAGUAUUCCUCCUGCUGCUUUCACAGCCCUCUUUUGGGUCCUAUGUGUCACCCCCAUGUCCCUAGUCCUCCUCCUCCAGGGGAUUAGAAUCUUUCUGGGGCAAGGACUACUUGGAGCUGUGUUCACCCAGUCCCUUGAGCAACUGGGCUCCUGUGCUUGCUAAUUUUAUUUUAGCUGCUCUCCUAAUAAAAGUGACUAAUCACAACAGCACUGUGAUGUCUAGUAGGAGAGACUGAUGAAAUAAUUGUGUAGUGGGGAUGAAGCAGCCAGGCUGAUGGUGAAGCAGAGCAGGCAUUAGCUGUACCAGCCUUACAUAACAUUGCAGGCUGAGUGAGAAGCACCCAGAAGGAACUCACUUAUCUCACCCCUUCCUCCUCCUUUAUUAUGAAAAAAGGAAAAAAAAGAAAGGAAUAAAAGGAACAAAACAGUUAUAUUUCCUUUACUGCUGCCCCAUGCCUGGGUGCAGGUCCCUGGGCUGGCAGUGGGGCAGCAGGGACAGCUGCCACUCUGUGCUGGCUCAGGACUCACUCCAGCUCUGAUCCCACUCGGUGUGCUGGGCACAGAGUCAGGUGUCACUGUUAAAAAAUGGUUCUCUGCCUUCUGAUUCAUGAUGGCUUUUUUUUUUUCCAUCUUGCAAUGGAUGUGAAAUAUAAUUUGAGUUUCAAUAUGUAGCUGGGAUGGUUUUCUUCUCUUGUUAAUUAGUUAUUACCCUUGCCUGCACCGAUGUUUUUAUUACUUUAGGUGGCUGAUAUCUGCUAACCACCUUUCUGAAAGAUUACAAAAGUCCCAUGGAAAUGAGAGUGGGGAGGUGGACGGACGGAUGGACGGAUGAGAGAUGCCUCUAUUACAAGGAACGAGCACAGAAAGCUUGGAUUAGGGUGAACAGCUGGUGCGGAUUCAAUAAUCAACUGCUCUGAAAGAAAAGCCUGUUUUUUCUCAUCUCAUGGUAUUAGAGAACAGGAUACCAGAGCUGCCAACCUUACAAUUGAAAUCUGCCCACACAGAAUAGCAAAUUCCCCUUGGCUUGCAUUUAAAUGCUCCUGGCUCAAUUAUAACUCCAUACAGUCUUUAAUACAUACAUGUGGUCUGCAUAUUAUCCUGCAAACAGAGCACUGCACUGCUUCUCUCAGCAUGUCUCUGCCUUCAUUUCAACUCCAAAGGGAGGGACAGGGCAGGGGGAGAGAAAGGAGGACAGAGAGCUUAUCGAGUUUACAGCUGCUGCUGAGAAUAUUGGUUUGAUUUUCACUGCUGCUCGGGAUUUAUUUCCACAGCAGGCAGCAGGUUGGGACAGUGAGUGCUGGUUUAGCAGACUUAGGAGGUCAUUCUGGUCACUCUUCAGGACAGCCCUGUGGCAGUAGCACUGCCCUCCAAGGAGCCAGCUUGUGCUGGGAGCCAUCCUGGUGAGCCGUGGUGUGAGGAAGGGCUGGGCACUUCCAGCUCUCAUUAUCCAGAGAGGAGCAGCAGAGCUGGGGCAGAAGUCUCCGUAUGAAAAAUGAGGAGGCUUGUUGGCUGUUGAUUUUCCCAGGUACUUUGUGAUGCUAAACAUGGCAGGGUUACCAAGACUUUCUCUGACCCUAUUGGCAGCAGCAGUAGCUACAAUACAAUCUUCCUUCUCUUCAUCCCAAGCCAGCAGGCAGCCCUGGGAGACCAACACAGAGCCCCUGGCUUUGUUUCCACAGCACCUGAGCCCUCUCCUCAAGCUGCACACCUGCCCAGGUGCUGGGGCUUCAUUGUGAUCUAGAGAGCACACAGCCACCUGAUCUUGAUGGUGACAAAUGGGGGCAGCAAACAGUUGCCAGGUGGGGCCAUUUUUCUCUUCAUUCUGUCAGAUAUGAAGAAGAAGUUAACAGCUCAAUACAUCACACUUGAUCCCAUCAGCCAGUCUCUUGUCUUUUCAGAAAACUGGAAGAAAUAUAUUUGUUUUAAUACCCUCUUUAUUUUAAAAGAUCAGGAUAAAAGCAGUGACCAGAACUCUUGUUAUCACAUAGUUUCAAUCCGUAACAGGAUACUGAAUAUUCAAGGGGAGAGAACCCAAAAGCCUGGGCUGCAGGUCUGCAGCUGACCCUAUUAAUAGCCACAUCAAAUUCUUGUUCAUUCAGUGGCCUUUUUUAAAGGGAAAACACAGCUCAGCCCUGCUGCCCCAAAUGCAAGGAGAAAACUGGAAGGGGCUGCAGGAAAAUGUGUCAGCCUGGGUCCCUCCUGUGCUUCUUGCAGAAAGGAAAGGAAGAUAUUAAUGCAGAUGAUUUUGUUACAUAAAUACAUGUUGUAUCAGGGCCAUUUUUAGCGUUUGUGGGGGUGUGAAGAACUUCUUCAAGCUGCGUAUCUAUUUCAUAGGAUUCAGCUGAACUGAGGAAAAGGACAGAGAGUUUUAAGGUAAACUAUCAAGAUACAUUUAUUUAAGCCCACACAAUUCUGUACAGAGCUCCACAUGACAGAAACAAUAUUUCACUAGCAUGUCUCUGGCCUCAGUAGUGCUUUUUAAUGCUUUGUAGCUCAAAGACCUCUUAAUAUAAUUGGAUAAAAUUAAGGAAAAAAUUGUAAUCAAAUUUCAAAUAUUGUGUCUGCCAUUUGUCUUAGGAGAGUUUCAGUUUCUUUGAAUUCCAAAGGGCUGCAACACUUAAUUAAAAUGAAAUUUUAAAAUCCAGAAAUCUAAUUUUUAAUUUAAUCUCCAAGUAAUUUAAACUUCAAACAGAUAAUUUUCUUGUCAGGAAGAAGCCCCUUUUUGAGCAAAAAAUAAAAUCUGGGGGUAAUUUCAUGAAUCAAGUUCAUAAAAUGCAGAACUCUUCUUGAUUUCUGAGCAGUUUUCUAUUAUCUUUUCCACCUCAGCUCCAUGUCCCAUUCAUCCUUGAGAGAUGCAUGGGGCUCACUUCCCCCUUUCUGAUGUGUUCAUCCCUACAGAAGGCAGAGAGUGAAAUACAGCCCCCAGCAGAGCUGUGGGAACAUCUCACACCAGCCUAGAAAUGGGCCCAGGUUUAGCGGUGGGUGUAGGCUCAGAGUGGCUGGGGCUGGCAUGGGGAAAACCAGAUUUUUUUCCUCCUUCCACACUGGAAGUGUCCAGUUAUCAAAGCAGCUCCUCUGAGGGGCUUCGGCUGCAAAUGUGUCCAAAAAUAAUUUUCUCAUGUUAUCUCAGUGGCCAUCUGAGAACCUUUUCCUUCUGGAAUGCAGUUUUAGGGGACUGUGUUUUACUUACAGGAAGGCAUUGCCAAAGGGAAAUUUUCAUGGGAUUAAUUAAUGCUACAUUUUUUGUUUGUCAUGCUCCAAAAGGAUCCGGUUGUUUUUAAAGGAAUUUUUCUGUUAUAUUUUUUCUUUCAAUUUUUUAUAAAAAGGACACCAAAAGCUAACAUUUAUAAAUCAUCUGAGCUCGGUAGUCUGGUUGAUUUCCACACAGUGCCUACACUUUGUGUUUCUCAGAGCUCUGCCAUCCACAAGGCAGAUCCCAGACUGGGCACAGUUAGCUACAAGGUGCUCAAAAAGAGGAGAAGGUUAAGGAGGAGAAAGGUCACCUAAAUAACUGUAGUUUACUAUAUUGCCCAUCCACGACAGCCUUGAUCCAGAGAAUUUUAAACACAUGCUAAAGAAUGUCAGUCUUAUUUAAUAAAAUCAUAAGA